UACGGAAGGGGGCUAGCGUUGCUUCGGAAUACUGGGCGUAAAGCGUGCGCAGGCGGUUUGGUAAGACAGAUGUGAAAUCCCCGGGCUUAACCUGGGAAUUGCAUUUGUGGACUGCCCGGCUAGAGUGUGUCAGAGGGGGGUAGAAGUUCCGACGUGUAGCAGUGAAAUGCGUAGAUAUGUGGAGGAAUACCGAUGGCGAAGGCAGCCCCCUGGGAUAACACUGACGCUCAUGCACGAAAGCGUGGGGAGCAAACAGGAUUAGACUACC
rnacentral:rRNA from 1 species